rnacentral:tRNA from 1 species
GCCUGGGUGGCUCAGUAGGUUGGGCAUCUGACUUCAGCUUGGGUCAUGAUCUCACGGUCCGUGGGUUAGAGCCCCACAUUGGGCU